rnacentral:rRNA from 1 species
CCUACGGGUGGCAGCAGUGGGGAAUAUUGGACAAUGGGCGAAAGCCUGAUCCAGCCAUGCCGCGUGUGUGAAGAAGGCCUUCGGGUUGUAAAGCACUUUCAGUGGGGAAGAAAGCCUUGGGGCUAAUACCCUCGAGGAAGGACAUCACCCACAGAAGAAGCACCGGCUAACUCCGUGCCAGCAGCCGCGGUAAUACGGAGGGUGCGAGCGUUAAUCGGAAUUACUGGGCGUAAAGCGCGCGUAGGCGGUCUGAUAAGCCGGUUGUGAAAGCCCCGGGCUCAACCUGGGAACGGCAUCCGGAACUGUCAGGCUAGAGUGCAGGAGAGGAAGGUAGAAUUCCCGGUGUAGCGGUGAAAUGCGUAGAGAUCGGGAGGAAUACCAGUGGCGAAGGCGGCCUUCUGGACUGACACUGACGCUGAGGUGCGAAAGCGUGGGUAGCAAACAGGAUUAGAUACCCUAGUAUUC